GAUGAACGCUGGCGGCGUGCCUAAUACAUGCAAGUCGAGCGAACAGACGAGGAGCUUGCUCCUCUGACGUUAGCGGCGGACGGGUGAGUAACACGUGGAUAACCUACCUAUAAGACUGGGAUAACUUCGGGAAACCGGAGCUAAUACCGGAUAAUAUAUUGAACCGCAUGGUUCAAUAGUGAAAGACGGUUUUGCUGUCACUUAUAGAUGGAUCCGCGCCGCAUUAGCUAGUUGGUAAGGUAACGGCUUACCAAGGCAACGAUGCGUAGCCGACCUGAGAGGGUGGACGGCCCCACGGGGAACGGGCAACCGGCCCGGCCCCCGAGGGGGGGCACAGGGAGGAAUUCUGCGAAAGGGGCCAAAAGCCGGCGGAGACAGCCCGGGGUGGGUGAGAAAGUUUUUGGGAUCUAAAAACUUUUUUAUGGGGAAAAAAAAAAGGUUUAAGUAACUAUGCACGUCUGGACGGUACCUAAUAAAAAACCCAGGCCUAACUCCGCG
rnacentral:rRNA from 1 species